rnacentral:rRNA from 1 species
GGUUUGAUCCUGGCUCAGGACGAACGCUGGCGGCGUGCCUAAUACAUGCAAGUCGAGCGAGCGGAACUAACAGAUUUACUUCGGUAAUGACGUUAGGAAAGCGAGCGGCGGAUGGGUGAGUAACACGUGGGGAACCUGCCCCAUAGUCUGGGAUACCACUUGGAAACAGGUGCUAAUACCGGAUAAGAAAGCAGAUCGCAUGAUCAGCUUUUAAAAGGCGGCGUAAGCUGUCGCUAUGGGAUGGCCCCGCGGUGCAUUAGCUAGUUGGUAAGGUAAAGGCUUACCAAGGCGAUGAUGCAUAGCCGAGUUGAGAGACUGAUCGGCCACAUUGGGACUGAGACACGGCCCAAACUCCUACGGGAGGCAGCAGUAGGGAAUCUUCCACAAUGGACGCAAGUCUGAUGGAGCAACGCCGCGUGAGUGAAGAAGGUUUUCGGAUCGUAAAGCUCUGUUGUUGGUGAAGAAGGAUAGAGGUAGUAACUGGCCUUUAUUUGACGGUAAUCAACCAGAAAGUCACGGCUAACUACGUGCCAGCAGCCGCGGUAAUACGUAGGUGGCAAGCGUUGUCCGGAUUUAUUGGGCGUAAAGCGAGCGCAGGCGGAAGAAUAAGUCUGAUGUGAAAGCCCUCGGCUUAACCGAGGAACUGCAUCGGAAACUGUUUUUCUUGAGUGCAGAAGAGGAGAGUGGAACUCCAUGUGUAGCGGUGGAAUGCGUAGAUAUAUGGAAGAACACCAGUGGCGAAGGCGGCUCUCUGGUCUGCAACUGACGCUGAGGCUCGAAAGCAUGGGUAGCGAACAGGAUUAGAUACCCUGGUAGUCCAUGCCGUAAACGAUGAGUGCUAAGUGUUGGGAGGUUUCCGCCUCUCAGUGCUGCAGCUAACGCAUUAAGCACUCCGCCUGGGGAGUACGACCGCAAGGUUGAAACUCAAAGGAAUUGACGGGGGCCCGCACAAGCGGUGGAGCAUGUGGUUUAAUUCGAAGCAACGCGAAGAACCUUACCAGGUCUUGACAUCUAGUGCCAUUUGUAGAGAUACAAAGUUCCCUUCGGGGACGCUAAGACAGGUGGUGCAUGGCUGUCGUCAGCUCGUGUCGUGAGAUGUUGGGUUAAGUCCCGCAACGAGCGCAACCCUUGUUAUUAGUUGCCAGCAUUAAGUUGGGCACUCUAAUGAGACUGCCGGUGACAAACCGGAGGAAGGUGGGGAUGACGUCAAGUCAUCAUGCCCCUUAUGACCUGGGCUACACACGUGCUACAAUGGGCAGUACAACGAGAAGCGAGCCUGCGAAGGCAAGCGAAUCUCUGAAAGCUGUUCUCAGUUCGGACUGCAGUCUGCAACUCGACUGCACGAAGCUGGAAUCGCUAGUAAUCGCGGAUCAGCACGCCGCGGUGAAUACGUUCCCGGGCCUUGUACACACCGCCCGUCACACCAUGGGAGUCUGCAAUGCCCAAAGCCGGUGGCCUAACCUUCGGGAAGGAGCCGUCUAAGGCAGGGCAGAUGACUGGGGUGAAGUCGUAACAAGGUAGCCGUAGGAGAACCUGCGGCUGGAUCACUC